rnacentral:rRNA from 1 species
CUACGUGCCAGCAGCCGCGGUAAUACGUAGGGUGCAAGCGUUGUCCGGAAUUAUUGGGCGUAAAGAGCUCGUAGGCGGUUUGUCGCGUCUGGUGUGAAAGUCCAUCGCUUAACGGUGGAUUGGCGCUGGGUACGGGCAGGCUAGAGUGUAGUAGGGGAGACUGGAAUUCUCGGUGUAACGGUGGAAUGUGUAGAUAUCGGGAAGAACACCAAUGGCGAAGGCAGGUCUCUGGGCUAUUACUGACGCUGAGGAGCGAAAGCGUGGGGAGCGAACAGGAUUAGAUACCCUGGUAGUCCAUGCCGUAAACGUUGGGCACUAGGUGUGGGGGACAUUCCACGUUUUCCGCGCCGUAGCUAACGCAUUAAGUGCCCCGCCUGGGGAGUACGGCCGCAAGGCUAAAACUCAAAGAAAUUGACGGGGGCCCGCACAAGCGGCGGAGUAUGUGGUUUAAUUCGACGCAACGCGAAGAACCUUACCAGGUCU